rnacentral:lncRNA from 1 species
ACUUGGAGAGGAUCUUCCUCAGGUUGCUCGCAGCCACACGAAGUCAUCUGGCAUCUACAGAAAAUCCACGUGAAGAUCGAUGCAGAUUAGGGUCCUUGGAAGUGCUAGCUUGUAAGAAACUCGUAGGCUGAUUUCUUUCUUCUUCUUUAAAGACUUUGGAUGCUCCAAAAGAUGAAGAGAUCUGGAGGAGGAAGAGAGGAAGAAGAGGAGAAGCUCUAGAAAAACAAAAACUAGCAAGGGAACCA